GACGAACGCUGGCGGCGUGCCUAAUACAUGCAAGUCGAACGCAGUGGGGAUGGGUGAGUAACACGUGGGUAACCUCCCAUCAGAGGGGAUAACACUUGGAAACAGGUGCUAAACCGAUACUGAUGGAUGGACCCGGGGUGUAUUAGCUAGUUGGGGGGGUAACGGCUCACCAAGGCCACGAUGCGUAGCCGGCCUGCGAGGGUGAACGGCCACACUGGGACUGAGAAACGGCCCAGACUCCUACGGGAGGCAGCAGUAGGGAAUCUUCGGCAAUGGGCGAAAGUCUGACGGAGCAACGCCGCGUGAGUGAAGAAGGUUUUCGGAUCGUAAAAUUCUUUUGUUCGAGAAGCGGUAUCUGACCAGAAAGCCACGGCUAACUACGUGCCAGCCGCCGCGGUAAUUC
rnacentral:rRNA from 1 species